AUGCUCGUUGCGGUCGCCAAUGGACGCUCGCGCUCGUCCAUGGCAAGGCGAUAUGCAGAGCGAACGGUGAAGAUGCCGUUCUUCUUCGGGGCCCAUGCGAUGACGUCGUCGGUGAUGCGGGGUGACGUGCGAAUGCUGGUGAUGGUCGCGACAUCCGCCGGGAGAAAAUACUGUCGCAGCACGUUCGUACGCCAGGCGUCGGACUCGUCCAGGAGCUCUGAGACCCGCCGAAGACGGCAAGUCCCGUGCCGCGUGAUCGGCUACCCCGUCGGUUUCGUUGGGAGCCAACGGUCACGCCAUAUGCGUAUAUUCCGGCCAUCGCCGACGCGCCAUAGAAUCCCCUUCUCGAGGAGCUCGAGGCCGUACUGA
rnacentral:rRNA from 1 species